rnacentral:rRNA from 1 species
GACGAACGCUGGCGGCGUGCUUAACACAUGCAAGUCGAACGGAAAGGCCCUGCUUUUGUGGGGUGCUCGAGUGGCGAACGGGUGAGUAACACGUGAGUAACCUGCCCUUGACUUUGGGAUAACUUCAGGAAACUGGGGCUAAUACCGGAUAGGAGCUCCUGCUGCAUGGUGGGGGUUGGAAAGUUUCGGCGGUUGGGGCUGGACUCGCGGCUUAUCAGCUUGUUGGUGGGGUAGUGGCUUACCAAGGCUUUGACGGGUAGCCGGCCUGAGAGGGUGGCCGGCCACAUUGGGACUGAGAUACGGCGCAGUCUCCUACGGGAGGCAGCAGUGGGGAAUAUUGCACAAUGGGCGGAAGCCUGAUGCAGAGACGCCGCGUGCGGGAUGACGGCCUUCGGGUUGUAAACCGCUUUCGCCUGUGACGAAGCGUGAGUGACGGUAAUGGGUAAAGAAGCACCGGCUAACUACGUG